ensembl:processed_transcript Gas5 growth arrest specific 5
UCUGAGCAGGAAUGGCAAUGUGGACCUCUGUGAUGGGACAUCUUGUGGGAUCUCACAGCCAGUUCUGUGGCAAAGGAGGAUGAAGGUUUAUGAGGACUCGUCAGGAAGCUGGAUAACAGAACGAGCGCAAUGUAAGUAAUUUUGUGUGUGCAUGUGGUCCCAUUACAAGGAAUACCCAAUGGCAAAUGAGCACUAAAGAUCCCUCAACCCACACAUUGAAUGUAUUGUUCCCUGAGAGCAAUUGUAGAUAGAGGAGUGGGUGGGAAGUCUGAAGUCAGGGCAUUGUUUCUGCGUAUCUGAGUAGGCUGGUUUUUGAUAUUUGUGGGAGCUAGUGGUCGUUAACUCAUUUACCCCCUAUUUGGUGGACUCUGGUUCCCCCAUCUUAAGUGCUGAGUCAGGGGCCUAACCGGGCAGCUUUAACUAUUUGUUUGUUGUAGGUGCUAGAAGACCAGAAAAUGAAAUGGUGGAGUUUGAGGCUGGAUAGACAGUUUGAAAGGUACAAAUGAUGGUUUGAAUAAAGGUAAGCAUUGUAAGUUUAAUAUUUACUAUAUGAAUUAAGGUACUGUUAGUGAUGACCAAUAAAGUUAAACAGAUGGGAAUCUCUCUGAAUAAGAUUGAAGAUUGAUUGUUAAGCUGAAACAGUAUUUAAGAACAUCAGUAAAUAUAGUUUACAAAUACAUAUUUCUAAAUGGAGUGUAAUUUCUUACAGGUAUAACGCACGGGUCGCCUCAAGUGAAGGCACUGCAAACAAAAUGAUUGGUCAUUCUGAAUUUCCGGUCCUUCAUUCUGAAUUUCAAAGGCUCCUGUGACAAGUGGACAUGCAGUGACUGUACCUUUGUUUCUGAGGUGCCUGGAUGGAGGCUCAAAU